GCUGGUCUAUGGCCACUAGGUAAAGGGAGUAGAGAAGGAUGAAUCGCAAUGAAACAUGAGCAAAACUUGUGGGUGAUAGAAAUGUUUGUUAUCUUGAUUGUGGUGAUGAUUUCAAGAGUAUAUAAAUUAUAUCCAAGCUGAUCAAAUUUACAUUUUAAUACAUGAAGUUUAAUGUACUUCAAUGAUACCACAAUAAAGCUGUAUAAAAAGAAAUAUCCAUACCUAGAGAGAAGGUUAAUACUGACCUAGCAAAAAGCUCUGAUGAUUUGCAGGCAUUGCAAGAUGGGAAUGUAACCCAAGCCUCUCAGUGUCCUUCAAGAUUAAAAUGGAGCUGGCAGAGAACACUCCUUUUCUUUCUGCUGUUAGAGCCGUUAGGAUAUGAGUACAAGGCUGCUGGGAACCUGUCCCUUUACUAUGUGAAGAGUGUAGCACUUAGAAUACAGCUGACAUGGAGAAAGGAAAGAUGAAGAGACAGAGACACGAAGGUCUGGAGCCGAGGAGACAGGAAGAGAAGGAGCAAAGAACAAGAUUCCACUUCAGAAAUCAGAAAUGGAGAGAUGCCAGAAGCUAUUGAUGAAGUUUUUUUAGAGAAGCACAAUGAAUAAAGAAUUUCCUCAGUUGGGAUCAUCUGGACCUCACAGAUUUUACGAUUGUGGAGAUUUAAGGAGCCUCUCCUUUGAUCAGUGACUGCAGGUCGCCCUUAACUUCUGUUGAAGAAUCAUGUCAUGGGUGCCUGGGUGCCCCAGUCGGUUAAAUAUUUGCCUUUGGCUCAGGUCAUGUGGGAUCCAUUCUCCUUCUAUCACUCCCCAACUUGUGCUCUCUCUCUCUCUCUCUCUGUGUGUGUGUCUUGCAAAAAUAAAUAAAUAAAAAUUCUAGGAAAAACGAAAAAAGGAAUCAUGUCAUGCCUCAGGUGUCCUUGAUUCUGUAAAGACUUGG